rnacentral:rRNA from 1 species
GCCUACGGGGCGCAGCAGUGAGGAAUAUUGGUCAAUGGGAGAGAUCCUGAACCAGCCAAGCCGCGUGAGGGAAGACGGCCCUAUGGGUUGUAAACCUCUUUUGUCGGAGAACAAAACCCGGGACGUGUCCCGGACUGCGUGUAUCCGAAGAAAAAGCAUCGGCUAACUCCGUGCCAGCAGCCGCGGUAAUACGUAGGGUGCGAGCGUUAAUCGGAAUUACUGGGCGUAAAGGGUGCGCAGGCGGUUGAGUAAGACAGAUUGGAAAUCCCCGAGCUUAACUCGGGAAUGGCA